GACGAACGCUGGCGGCGUGCUUAACACAUGCAAGUCGAACGGAAAGGCCCUGCUUUUGUGGGGUGCUCGAGUGGCGAACGGGUGAGUAACACGUGAGUAACCUGCCCUUGACUUUGGGAUAACUUCAGGAAACUGGGGCUAAUACCGGAUAGGAGCUCCUGCUGCAUGGUGGGGGUUGGAAAGUUUCGGCGGUUGGGGAUGGACUCGCGGCUUAUCAGCUUGUUGGUGGGGUAGUGGCUUACCAAGGCUUUGACGGGUAGCCGGCCUGAGCGGGUGACCGGCCACAUUGGGACUGAGAUACGGCACAGACUACUACGGGAGGCAGCAGUGGGGAAUAUUGCACAAGGGGAGGAAGCCUGAUGCAGCAACGCAGCGUGCGGGAUGACGGCCUUCGGGUUGUAAACCGCUUUCGCCUGUGACGAAGCGUGAGUGACGGUAAUGGGUAAAGAAGCACCGGCUAACUACGUG
rnacentral:rRNA from 1 species